GCAGCUGGGUUCAUUUCCAGCUCCAUGAACCAAGCUCAUUCGCUGAGUAGCUACUCAAAUAGCAGUAACAGCAGCACAGAGAGGAAGGAAACAAGCAGCCAUAAGCACAAAGAUAGUGUCACCCUCUGCCUCAGUAGUUCACACUGCAAGCUAACACCCACAUGCAGCUGUCUAGGUGUCCACAUACAGCACAGCUCUAGUCAGUCUGCUCAGAAACAGUUGUCUAUAGACACGUAAGAAUGUGAACAUUGCAGACAGAAGCAGGAUUGCUGAGAUCAAAGGAGAAACAGCUCCAAGUUUAAAGGGGGAAAACACCAGCAUAGAAAGAUGCAAGAUCCAAAUGCAAAACAAAACAACAAAAACAAAUCAAAGCAAAACAGAACCCAUGACUAAUCACGAUGGUCAGUCUUACUGGGACUCCUGGACAUCAUGAAGUCACCAAGCAGAGCUGUCAGUGUUGCUGGUUUUGACUGGAGCUGGUGCAAGACGGCAACUCAGCAGCAACUCCUCUCUCCUAGAGAGUUGCUAAGGGCAACUCUUCCCCUUCUGACUGGCCAGUAAAGACUCUUCCGAUGCCUUAUUAGGUUGGUGAGCGUGUUUAGCCUUGUAGCUCAUUGCACCCACCCUAGUUAUCUUCUGUGACUAUAUUAGCCCGUAAGUACCCACUUUACAUUUUAAGUUAAGAAAGUCCUGUUUGUAGAGUCUCUUUGUGCCAGGUUAAAGAUCCAGAACAAAUCAACUCGGAGCAACCACAACAGAGUAAGAAACAACGGGUUUUUGUUGUUGUUGUUGUUGUUUUUGUUUUGUUUUGUUUUGUUUUUUUGCAUCAGUGGAGAUUGGUACUAAGUGGUUGCAUAGCUGUGACUAGGGCUAUGACACUACUAAAUCAAAUGCCAGCUUAUUACAAGACAUAAGGAAUCCAUUAAAGUGGCUCAAGCAUGAAUUUCAGCAUAGAAUUGUGGCUCUGCAGAUGGUGAAGAAUCCUAAGAAUGCAUCAGCAGGUAGCUAUAGCACAGAUGAGAGAAUGGGAGUGGACAGUCUAUGAACAGGAGCAAGAUUGAAGAGUCGCUAACUGCAGCAUUGAUAGGACAUGAGGAAGGCCAUAGGUUUUAAAUCAGAAGAUAACAGGCGAAAGCUAAUGACACUAGAAGUGAGAUUAACUGAGAUUAAUUUCUCCAACUUCCGUUUUGAGCAGAAUUAGAAUGCCUGAAGAAAUAGUAAAGAUGAAAAAAAGUGAAGUUGAGAUACGUUACUGGCAAGGACUGAUGGCUUAAGAAGAGAUGUCACUGAUUCUCACAAGCAAACAAAGGACAAAUGCUGACAGCUACCUUCACUUCAAUUGUUAACAAGCAAUUUCCAUCAGCUUUAGUGUGAAAUGGAUCAGCCAAUAUGAACGCAUAUUGUGAAUGACUCACCCUGUAUCAACUGUCUAUACAUGAGUAAAGCCACAUGUCCCCACACUGCUGAUAGUCUUUAUUAUGGGCUUUCUUUAAGGUAAGAGAUUAGGAGCUUAAACUAUGACCAGAAACUUUUACAUUAGUUUUUACACUUCUCCCUUCUUCAAAGUACAAUACAGAAAUGCAGCUUUGGGACUUUAGACUUGAAUAGCUGCAAAAUCUUAUAAAAGGGAAUAUUACCUCAAUCUGUCACAUGGAUUUGCUAUAUGCUGAAGAAGAAGGUUACAGACAUUAAAAAAAAUCUAUAUUAAAUUUGCAUGUUGGAACAUUUGCUCUCCCUUCUACCCAAGACUUCAUGACAGUUGGUUCCUUGGGCAUAUUCCUCAAAUUCAUUUCAUCAGAUUUUGUGGCAGUUUUCACUUCACAGUUUCCCUGGUAAUAUAGAAGAAUGGGACAGCCUAAAUUACUUUAAUUUUUCAAAUGUGAUGUUAAGAAAAUUGCCCACUAUUGAUUG